rnacentral:rRNA from 1 species
UGCCAGCCGCCGCGGUAAUACGGAGGAUCCAAGCGUUAUCCGGAAUCAUUGGGUUUAAAGGGUCCGUAGGUGGAUAAUUAAGUCAGAGGUGAAAGUUUGCGGCUCAACCGUAAAAUUGCCUUUGAUACUGGUUAUCUUGAAUUAUUGUGAAGUAGUUAGAAUAUGUAGUGUAGCGGUGAAAUGCAUAGAUAUUACAUAGAGUACCAAUUGCGAAGGCAGAUUACUAACAAUCAAUUAACACUGAUGGACGAAAGCGUAGGUAGCGAACGGGAUUAGAUA